UAAUUGUCUAAUCUCAGUUGGUAAUUCAGAGUGCUGGAAUUCGUUCUCGGAUUAACAGCUGGGAUCGGACAAAUA
ncrna:Capitella teleta microRNA cte-mir-216a precursor